rnacentral:rRNA from 1 species
ACGUAGGGUGCAAGCGUUAAUCGGAAUUACUGGGCGUAAAGCGUGCGCAGGCGGUUUUGUAAGACCGAUGUGAAAUCCCCGGGCUUAACCUGGGAACUGCAUUGGUGACUGCAAGGCUAGAGUGUGUCAGAGGGAGGUGGAAUUCCGCGUGUAGCAGUGAAAUGCGUAGAGAUGCGGAGGAACACCGAUGGCGAAGGCAGCCUCCUGGGAUAACACUGACGCUCAUGCACGAAAGCGUGGGGAGCAAACAGGAUUAGAUACCCUGGUAGUCCACGCCCUAAACGAUGUCUACUAGUUGUCGGGGAUUAAUUUCCUUGGUAACGCAGCUAACGCGGGAAGUAGACCGCCUGGGGAGUACGGUCGCAAGAUUA